rnacentral:rRNA from 1 species
AAUUCAAGCAUAUUAAUAAGCGGAGGAAAAGAAACUAACAAGGAUUCCCCUAGUAAUGGCGAAUGAAGCGGGAACAGCUCAAAUUUGAAAUCUCCGUCGCUUGCGACGGCGAAUUGUAGUUUCGAGAAGCACUUUCUAGGCGGACCCGGCCCCGUCCAAGUUGCUUGGAACAGCACGUCAUAGAGGGUGACAACCCCGUCUGUGGCGGAGCCGGCCGCUGACGAUGCGCUUUCCAAGAGUGGGUUGCUUGGGA